rnacentral:rRNA from 1 species
AUGCCCGGAUCCGCAGGUGAUUUGCUGCAAGAUCGUUCACAACUGCACGAGCGAGCUCGACAGGUGAUGCAGGGUAUUGCCCAGGCCUUGUGGCCAUCCUCUUCCCUGCUAGGAGGCAUGAGCGAGCUUGUGGAGUUGUUCAAAGGAGCACGGCAGCGCUUCCGAUUAUGGAAGAUAUCAGCUUGCCGACAAGGUGCUAGGGAAUCCUGGGCCAUGGUGAAGACGCGAUACGCCAAGGCUGACCCGAACCAUAUGGCCGAAGUCGGACCGGUGGAGUCAGAUGGGCAAGAGAUACCUGUAAGUCUGGUAUAUGAUCAAGUAGCGUUAGCCACAAAGUAUUCCCAACAGGAUUAUAGGCUAGACAGCCUGUUGGAUGGUAUAGAGGAAGAAUAUAGCCAGUCCAAGUGA